UACGGGGGGGGCAAGCGUUGUUCGGAAUUACUGGGCGUAAAGGGCUCGUAGGCGGCCAACUAAGUCGGAUGUGAAAUCCCCAGGCUUAACCUGGGAACUGCAUCCGAUACUGGUUGGCUUGAAUCCGGGAGAGGGAUGCAGAAUUCCAGGUGUAGCGGUGAAAUGCGUAGAUAUCUGGAGGAACACCGGUGGCGAAGGCGGCAUCCUGGACCGACACUGACACUGAGGAGCGAAAGCCAGGGGAGCAAACGGG
rnacentral:rRNA from 1 species